CAGUGGGGGAAUAUUGCACAAUGGGCGCAAGCCUGAUGCAGCCAUGCCGCGUGUAUGAAGAAGGCCUUCGGGUUGUAAAGUACUUUCAGCAGUGAGGAAGGUGGGUAUGUUAAUAGCAUAUUCAUUUGACGUUAGCUGCAGAAGAAGCACCGGCUAACUCCGUGCCAGCAGCCGCGGUAAUACGGAGGGUGCGAGCGUUAAUCGGAAUUACUGGGCGUAAAGCGCAUGCAGGUGGUUUGUUAAGUCAGAUGUGAAAGCCCGGGGCUCAACCUCGGAAUUGCAUUUGAAACUGGCAAACUAGAGUACUGUAGAGGGGGUAGAAUUUCAGGUGUAGCGGUGAAAUGCGUAGAGAUCUGAAGGAAUACCGGUGGCGAAGGCGGCCCCCUGGACAGAUACUGACACUCAGAUGCGAAAGCGUGGGGAGCAAACAGGAUUAGAUACCCUGGCAG
rnacentral:rRNA from 1 species